rnacentral:rRNA from 1 species
GAUGAACGCUGGCGGCGUGCCUAAUACAUGCAAGUCGAGCGAACAGACGAGGAGCUUGCUCCUCUGACGUUAGCGGCGGACGGGUGAGUAACACGUGGAUAACCUACCUAUAAGACUGGGAUAACUUCGGGAAACCGGAGCUAACACCGGAUAAUAUAUUGAACCGCAUGGUUCAAUAGUGAAAGACGGUUUUGCUGUCACUUAUAGAUGGAUCCGCGCCGCAUUAGCUAGUUGGUAAGGUAACGGCUUACCAAGGCAACGAUGCGUAGCCGACCUGAGAGGGUGAUCAGCCACACUGGAACUGAGACACGGUCCAGACUCCUACGGGAGGCAGCAGUAGGGAAUCUUCCGCAAUGGGCGAAAGCCUGACGGAGCAACGCCGCGUGAGUGAUGAAGGUCUUCGGAUCGUAAAACUCUGUUAUUAGGGAAGAACAAAUGUGUGAGUAACUAUGCACGUCUUGACGGUACCUAAUCAGAAAGCCACGGCUAACUACGUG